rnacentral:rRNA from 1 species
UCCACAGCCAUACUACCUUGGACAUGCUGAUUUCAGAAGCUAAGCCAUGUCAGGCCUGCUUAGAACUUGGAUGGGAGAAAGUACAGAAGUAAGAGCGCUGAGGGGGACUGCAAGGGGCUGGAGGGA